GUCUUCUGUAAAGCCCCGUCUUCCUAGUCACCGACACGAAAGGGCUCCGUUAGAAACGCACCUUGAAUUCAAGCUGUCCUUUGAUGGGGGAGCACAGGAAUUGACCCGGCUCUCUCUGGCGAGGCAAACCGCAAGACAUCUGCUUCUCCAGGGGCACUGAAGGCGAAAGCGCGCGGGUCCCGGCGCACCCUGGGAGCCCGCGCCCGGCACCUGCCAGAGCCAGCUCGCCGUCGCUGCUGGCGCCAUCCUGAGACCCCCCGAGACGCGGGGCGGCGUGAAGGAACGGGCAGCGCUCCCGCUCCAGCGCCGCCGCGGCAUCCCGCGACUCGCGAGGGGCUGACGGAUCGCCGGGCGGCCUCGAGUCAGCUCUGGGCCUCGCUGCUGCAGCGGCCCAAGGCCUCUCUUGGGAAAGCCAAACCCAGACGGACCCGGGCUCACGAGAGGGUCUGCCCCUGGGCUUGCCCAACCUGGCCAUAGCCACGUAGCUAACCCUCCGACCCGGUGUUCGGCCUCCACUGGCAUCUGCCCUUUCCCGGCGACUCGGUGCCCGGCACGCUGGUGGCUGGAGGGGCGCCCGCUGCGGCCUCCAGCGGAAUGAAGCAGAGCGAGGGGCGCAGACACAGGGAGAGCGCCAUUGGGCCCCACACGCCCUUCUCACCCGCUCCCUGACCUCAAGGAAGAACCGACCAGGCUAGGCCGGCCUCGGGGGCCUGAGGCUGUCCGGCUGGGCCCAACUCUGGAGGUGGCUCGGCCGGGGGAUUGGCCGGCUGGAGGCAAGGGGUAGACCUCAGGCUCCCCAGCCCCGGGGAGGCUCCCGCGCCACCCGCGCGCCUCGCGACGCGCCUCUUGCCGCUCUCAGGCUUAAGGAGAGCACAGCCGGGGCAGGGAUCCAUUCCUGACAGGGCGUCAAAUGCUGGGGUGGGGUGAGAGGGACAAGGUCCAAGGCCUUGGAAUCUGAGUGGAGCAGCACCGGACUGCCCGCGAACUCCCUGCGCUGGGGUCAGAACUAGCGUCUUUGCCCUACCCUGCGGAAGUCAGAGCCGCCCUGAGCCGCGUCGUGAGUCGGAAAAUGCGUCUUAGAAAAACCCUCCAGGAGAGGAGCCGCUGGGGGACCACAGCGUGGGGUUUUCGUGGGCUUCCUCGCUACUCCUGGACUGGAGUGCACGCGCCCAGAGAAUAGCUGGGCUCCCGACUCCUCCGGGCUCCAGCGAAGCCGCAAACAGUGCGGGAAGUUCAAAUGCAAAAUGUCCCCGUCCUGCAGAAGCAGGGGAAAGCUGGGGAGAAGGGACUCGAGUCCUCAGAGAUCUUCAUCCGGUCCUCCAGGGUAAUAAACUUUCGGCGGUUCGAGUUUGGGUAGCAACUGCUCGCGCGCCCUCGUCAGUGUGUUAGCCAUUUCCCUGGAAGCGUCCUUGGUGUCGAAAGCCCAGAGCCGCGAGGAAGCAGAUGACCGAGUCGGCGGAAAUGUCCGAGUGAACCAGCAGCGCAGCUCUCGGAUGGCGCACUGGGAGUGGGACAGCUGAGCACAGACUCAGUGCCCUGAGCGCAGCUGGGUCCUGUAGGCUCUGGGACUUCCCUCUCCUCACACCCAGACCCCGCAACUCGCCGUGGGCCCAGUGGCCUGUCUUCCAUGCCGGCCGUUGGCGCCCGGGGUGUCCGACCGACUGUGCUGUUCCUAGGUGGGCCCCCACAAUGCGUGCGCUCUAGACGCCAGCGUAGGCAAGGGAAGUUUCCUGGGCUGAGGGUGGAGAAACUCAACGGUCCCUCCCGGGCGGGCGCUGAGGCGCCGUGAGAGCACUGCAUGCAACGCCGCGCCGCGCUCAGCCUGGGUCUCCCUUUGGCCGUGGGGCACGCACCUGCCCUCUGCAGCAGCCAGGCUUGGACUCUGCCGAGGGGCUGCCCGGCCACGCGGCUUCCCCCAAAGCCUGGAGCUCGCCGACUCUUCCCUACCUUUCAAAGACCGCAGCGCUCGGGCCAGCGUGGCCCAGACUCCACUGUGGAACUUCGGAGGCUGGGGUGGGCGAAGUAAACACGUUUAUGGAAAAACCUGGGCUCAGGAGGUUUGCGGAAAGAGGGCUCAGCUCGUAGGUGGUUGGAAAUUCCGUCCACCCUGCGAGAAAAGCAGGCGGUUCCGCACACAACAUAUAUACACACGCGCACACACAGGGUGGGAAGGUGUGAAGCCCGCCGCUCGGGAGUUGCCCCCACUUUGAUGAAAAGGAAAUACGAAGCGUAGGAACAACUCUUCAGGUCACCACCCCGGGACUGUGUGUCCUGGAGGUCUGAAAGAAGAGAAAGUUCCCUCCAAAUCUUCCAAAUUGAGAAAAGCUGCGGAAGGAAUGAGGCGGUUAGAGAGAGGGGACCGCAAGCAUCCCCGUAGCUGGGGCUCAGGACUGAGCGCUAAAAUGAAACCACCCCUGUAGAUCCCACUAGGGAAAAUGUCUUUUUAAAACCCUUGAACUCUUAGGCAUUCUGCUACUUCCAUGCUUGUCAAAUCUGCUUUGAAGCAGUUAAAUAAUGAAGGAUAUUAAACACUGGUCUCCGUUCCAAACUCACUCUUUAAUCUUUGCGAAUUUGAAAUUAGAAGGAAAGGAAAAGAUCUGCUAUCCCUGAAUUAUGUUUUACCAAAGGAACGAAAAAUUCUAUACACUUCAGCAUAAAUCAAAUAGAAGGAAUUUUAUCUUAAUAAAAUAAUAUCUCGUAGCUUCUACCUGGCUCCCCAAUCACUGGUUAAUAACCUUUUGACAGUUUUUAGCCUUCUGCUUAUAUUUGUCCACUUAUAUUUGUUCACGAUGGAGAUUAUUUUAAUUGUCCUUCGGGGCGGCACAUCCAAAGCCACCUUUUGGCGGAAUACUUUUGAAUUAUACAGCCUCUUGGCUGCAAGAUCUGCGCCCCUCAAAGGGAGGACUUGCUGGGGGGGGGCGGAGGGCCAAGCCAAAUCCCCUCUGGCGUCUCGUCUGGGACGAAGGGCGUUUUGCUCAGGGUUGCUCAAGAAUAUGUCUUCUAGGAAAAGGCUGUUUAAAAUGAGCGUGUGUUAUUCCUUUCUGUCACUCGGUCACCCUACUUCCAGAGUAGCUGAAGUGCGUUCU
ensembl:lncRNA